GCUGAGAGGCCCGGGUGGCCCGGGCCGCGGGAUAGACGCCCGGGGCGGGGCGCGGAGGCCACGCCCACGUGCGGCCACGCCCACAAGUCCCAUCUCCGCCUCCGCCCGGAGCGCAGCUGAGAGGCCGGCCUGCGGCAGGCUCUCCCGACUGCCGUGCCGGGGAGGGGCCUGAAGGCUGCCGGACCGGACCGAAUACCCCAGCUCGGGCUCUCUCCCGGACCUCCUCUUCUACCUCCACGCCCACCAGCCCUGCCGCAGCGGCUCAGCCUUUUCUCUGGUCCAGCGGCCCCUUAGCCGCCCACCCUUUUCCGACAGGAGGAAGGCCCCAAGAGGAUCACAGGCUCCAGCCAGCUCGGCGCUCCCCCUCACAGAGGUUUCUCUGUCCUCACGCUGCUAGCUCCUCCUUUGCCCCCACUUCCAGACUGGCCUGUCCUGCCGGCUGCAGGACAAAGCCACUUUCUCCUGUGUCCCCAGAUGCCCAUCCGGUAACCAGUUCCCUUGGGCUCCUUGUCCUCUGCGGAUACCUCCUCCUGGGUCUCGAAACUUUGUUCCCCCCAGAUCCUCUGUUCCAGCCUCUGUUUUGUUUCUAGCAGGGGUCAAAUUACUCCAGAUGAGGUCCUUAGCCCGCAUUCUUGCUCCAGGAGUCUAUCUCAAAGCUAACUAGGGGCGCCCUCCAGGAGCAGGAGGUGCUUAGGCACUGUCUGGCUGGAUCCCUGCCUCCACCUUUGCCUGUCGUCUAGGACCUGCCCUGGUCCCAUCCACCCCCACCCUGGCUCCUGGACACUGAGUGUCACCCACAUGUUUCCUGCUGCCUCUGCUUUCUAAGUACUCUAUUCGUUUCCAGAACACCUCUGGACAGGCCCCGGCCCAGAGGCCUCCCUUCAGCACCUCCUGGGUAGGCCUCAGCCAGCCUCUCUCCUGGGUCCUCUGUGUCUCAGGCCCAGAGCACAGUGCCUGUGUCUCAGGCCCUGGGGCAGUUGUCAUGGCCAACUCCCCUGGCUCUACUGCUCUAUGGGGUUAUACACUCUUUCAGGGUAAGGAAUUUGGGUGGGGCCCCCAAAAGGCUAUGAUCUCAGAGUCACCCCAUGGAGCUUGGUCACGGAAGCCUAUUCCUGGUUCCCCUUUUAGCGGCAGGUCAACGAUCCUCUACAGACUCAUCUUCCCAUACCUACUCUCCUUUCAGUACUCCACUUUCCCCAGUCCUUAGUGUACCCUCAUUUCUUCACCCCUAAGCUCUGUGCCUGGUGGCCCUCCUACCAGGAAGGCCCUCUCCUCUGUAUCUACUCCUGGCUGAUAUAUGUGCUCUUCAAAACUUCA